UCGCAUGUUAUGGCCUAUGGCUAUUGCUGACCACUCUGUUUGUAGAGUGUGGAGGGAUAAAAACAUGCUAUAUUACAAAUCUUGGAGUUAACAGGGCCACCAGUCUCUCAAGAACAGACUGAGUUGGUAGUAUAAUACUCCUACACUU